rfam:Oryza brachyantha chromosome 3, whole genome shotgun sequence.
AAUAAUCUCAUUUUUCGUUUUCCUGUAUCCAACGUUUGACCAUUCGUUUUAUUUAAAAUUUUUUUGCGAUUAAUAAUUUUAUUAUUACUAGAUGAUAAAAUAUGAAUAGUAUUUUAUACAUGACUAAUUUUUUAGUUUUUGCAAAAAAAAUUUUAAAUAAGACGAAUGGUCAAACGUUGGACACGAAAAACAAAAAAUAAAAUUAUU